rnacentral:rRNA from 1 species
GGGAAUAUUGGACAAUGGGCGAAAGCCUAAUCCAGCAAUGCCGCGUGAGUGAUGAAGGCCUUAGGGUCGUAAAGCUCUGUCCUCAAGGAAGAUAAUGACGGUACUUGAGGAGGAAGCCCCGGCUAACUACGUGCCAGCAGCCGCGGUAAUACGUAGGUGGCAAGCGUUGUCCGGAUUUAUUGGGCGUAAAGCGAGCGCAGGCGGUUUCUUAAGUCUGAUGUGAAAGCCCACGGCUUAACCGUGGAGGGUCAUUGGAAACUGGUUGACUUGAGUGCAGAAGAGGGAAGUGGAAUUCCAUGUGUAGCGGUGAAAUGCGUAGAGAUAUGGAGGAACACCAGUGGCGAAGGCGGCUUCCUGGUCUGCAACUGACACUGAGGCGCGAAAGCGUGGGGAGCA